rnacentral:rRNA from 1 species
GAUCCUGGCUCAGGAUGAACGCUAGCGACAGGCCUAACACAUGCAAGUCGAGGGGCAGCACGAAGGAAGCUUGCUUCUUGGUGGCGACCGGCGCACGGGUGCGUAACAGGUGUGCAAUCUGUCCAUAGUCGGGGGAUAGCCCAGCGAAAGCUGAAUUAAUACUCCAUGUGAAUUGAAGCCGCAUGACUUUGAUUUGAAACGCAAGGACUAUGGGUGAGCACGCUUCUGAUUAGGUAGUUGGUGGGUAACGGCCCACCAAGCCGACGAUCAGUAGGGGUUCUGAGAGGAAGGUCCCCCACAUUGGAACUGAGACACGGUCCAAACUCCUACGGGAGGCAGCAGUGAGGAAUAUUGGUCAAUGGGCGAGAGCCUGAACCAGCCAAGUCGCGUGAAAAGGAUGAAGGUUCUAUGGAUUGUAAACUUCUUUUGUCCGAGGGUAAAAAAGGUCACGUGUGACCUCUUGCAAGUAUCGGACGAAUAAGCAUCGGCUAACUCCGUGCCAGCAGCUGC